rnacentral:rRNA from 1 species
AACGUACGCUGGCGGCACGCCUAACACAUGCAAGUCGAACGAAGUAGCAAUACUUAGUGGCAGACGGGUGAGUAACAUGUAGGUAUCUUCCCUUUGGCCUGGAAUAACACGAGGAAACUUGUGCUAAUACCGGAUAAGUCUUCACAGAGAAAGCUUUAUGCACCAUUGGAUGAGCCUGCACUUGAUUAGUUUGUUGGUGGGGUAAUGGCCUACCAAGACAAUGAUCAAUAGCUGAUUUGAGAGGAUGAUCAGCCACAUUGGGACUGAGACACGGCCCAAACUCCUACGGGAGGCAGCAGUGGGGAAUCUUGCACAAUGGAGGAAACUCUGAUGCAGCGAUGCCGCGUGAGUGAAGAUGGCCCUUGGGUUGUAAAGCUCUUUCGUCGGGGAAGAAAAUGACUGUACCCGAAUAAGAAGGUCCGGCUAACUUCGUGCC